CGAUCGACGACAGCGAAUGUAUCUGGAACAGCGAAAACUCUGUUUUUUUAUAUUAUUAUUUCUCCCCGAAAAGCUUCCUCUGUACCCUAACUCAAACUCCAGCCAAAUCCUACUACUUCCGCCGUCAACAUCAUCUCCGUCCCCUCCAGAACUCGACGACAAUCAUCAAUUUCAUCUCCCGAACUCGAUGAUCAUCGACAGCUUCAUCUUCAUCAGCUUGGUAACUUUACCACAAGCUUCUAUUUGUGUUUUGGCUUUUCAAAUUGCAAACUUUGGUGAGAGUCUAAUUGGUGCUACGCUCCAAGACAAAGACAAUUUUUAAUGGUUUAAUGUAUCAGGAAGGACACAAUUUUGGGACAGACGCAAUAUCUACUAUUAAGAGUUUACUCUCCUGUUUGGCUUAUUUUGUUGCACAGAGUUUGCCUACACCCUUAAGGUGGACGGGAAGCGUGAUGUUUACAGCUUUAGAGUUGUUCUUUAGGAAAUGAUUACUGGAAGAAAACUUGUUGUGCGGUUCAAAGUUGGAGUGGACAUUGUGCAAUGGGUUAAGAAGAUGCGUAGAGUAUUUUAUUUGUUUGUAACUAUGGAUGAUGUGGCUAAUUUGUUGGAUCUUACAAUCUUAUGAUACA